rnacentral:rRNA from 1 species
GACGAACGCUGGCGGCGUGCUUAACACAUGCAAGUCGAGCGGCGCGGCGAACGGGUGAGUAACGCGUUAGUAACUGCCCCCCUCUCUGGGAUCACAGUUGGAAACGGAUUCUAAUACCGGAUAGUGGGGGAUGACUCGCGUCCUAUCAGCUUGUUGGUUGGGUAGGGGCAUACCAAGGCGACGAAGGGUAGCCGGCCUGGGAGGGCGACCGGCCACAGUGGGCUGCGAGACGGCCCAAAGGCGUACGGGAGGCAGGAGUGGGGAGUAUUGCACAAUGGGCGGAAGCCUGAUGCAGCGACGCCGCGUGGGGGAGGACGGCAUUCGGGGUGUAAGCUCCUUUAACCAUUGACGCGGUAGAUGGAGAAGAAGCACCGGCUAACUACGUGCCAGCAGCCGCGGUAAUAC